rnacentral:rRNA from 1 species
UCCCGUUGAUCCUGCGGGAGAUCACUGCUAGUGGGAUUCGAUUAAGACAUGCAAGUCAAAGUAGCAAUACUUGGCGAAAGGCUCAGUAACACGUCAAUAAUCUAACCUUAAGUAUGGAAUAACUUCGGGAAACUGAGGAUAAUACCGUAUAGGCAACAUAUACUGGAAUGUUUUGUUGUUCAAAGCUUCGGCGCUUAAGGAUGAGUUGGCGGCAGAUUAGGCUGUUGGUGGUGUAAAGGACCACCAAACCAAAGAUCUGUAGGGGGGAUGAGAGUCUGAGCCCCGAGAAGGACACUGAGAAACUGGUCCUAGCCCUACGGGGUGCAGCAGUUACGAAAACUUUACAAUGCACGAAAGUGUGAUAAGGGAAUCCCACGUGCUAGCGAAUUUCGUUGGCUUUUCUAGAUUGUAGGAAGCUCUUGGAAUAAGUGGUGGGCAAGACCGGUGCCAGCCGCCGCGGUAACACCGGCGCCACAAGUGGUGAUCACGAUUAUUGGGCCUAAAGCAUCCGUAGCCGGCCUGCUAAGUUUUCAGUGAAAUCUAACGGCUUAACCGUUAGGCGUGCUGAAAAUACUGGCAGACUUGAGACCGGGAGGAGUCAGAGGAAUUUCCAGGGGAGCGGUAAAAUGUUGUAAUCCUGGAAGGACCAUCAGUGGCGAAGGCGUCUGACUAGAACGGGUUUGACGGUGAGGGAUGAAAGCUAGGGGAGCGAGCCGGAUUAGAUACCCGGGUAGUCCUAGCCGUAAACGCUGCGUGCUUGGUGCUGCAUUUUUUUCGAAGAUAUGCAGUGUCGUAGCGAAGGUGUUAAGCACGCCGCCUGGGAAGUAUGGUCGCAAGGCUGAAACUUAAAGGAAUAGGCGGGAGGUCACCACAAGGGGUGAAUGUUGCGGUUUAAUUGGAGUGUACGCCGGGAACCUUACCAGAGGCGACAGCAGGAUGAAGGUCAGUCUGAAUGGCUUACUCGACGCGCUGAGAGAUGGUGCAUGGCCGCCGUCAGCUCGUGCCGUGAGGUGUUCGGUUAAGUCCGAGAACGAGCGAGACCUGUGCCUUCUGUUGCAACUGUUUUUUUGGAGAACAAGCACACUGAAGGGACUGCAUGCGUUAAGCAUGAGGAAGGUGCAGGCCACGGUAGGUCUGUAUGCCUCGAAUCCUCUGGGAUACACGCGACAUGCAUUGGUUAGAACAACGGGCCGCGACUCCGAAAGGAGAAGCUAAUCCCUUAAAUCUAAUCUUGUCCGGAUUGAGGACUGCAACUCGUCCUCAUGAAGUCGAAAUCCCUAGUAAUCCUGUGUUAGCAACGCGGGGUGAAUGUGUCCCUGACCUUUGCACUCACUGCCCGUCAAGUCAACCGAGUUGGGUUCAGAUGAGGUACGAAUUUUUGUUUGUAUCGAAUCUGGGUUCAGUGAGGUGGACUAAGUCGACACAAGGUA